ensembl:lncRNA
CGGGGACCCCGAGGGCUUAUUGACAGGACUCCUAAACAUGACUGGACGCAUCAAAGACUUGCCCUCUUCCAAAGUGGGGACAGAGAAGACGCGGUCGUGGCUUUCCUUUUGCUGCAGCUGACCCACAAGUCUUUUUUUUAAAAUAAGAAUUUAGAUACCGGGUGUGGAAAUGCUCCUCCAUCAGCGGUCAGCUUCCCUCUCUCUUCACUCUUUUUCUUUUCUUUUUUUUUUCUUUUGGCCCAGGCUGGAAAUGGUUUUAACAGGCGGUAAAAUUUCAUCUUGUGGUGUCAAAUUGGGGUCAGUUGGGGGUUAGGGUUCUCAGUGUCCGCCAAGAAGCCGUCCAGCUGUGUGGGGAUUCAUUAAGGGCAAAAGAUCUGUUUCAAGAAAAACAAUGCAGAGACAAUCAGUAGGCGAAAGAUCUCCACCAAAUCGCAUUUUACAAGCGCUCCGGGAUAAAAAUGGAUGCUCAUGCUCUAUUCACUUCAACCUUCCCAAUCGCCGCCUUGCUUCUUGGAACCAGGAGCCGGGUCAUAACCAAAUACGGCUUCCCGAGGGGAAAAUGUGUAAAGAUUGCGCCCGCCCACCCCUUUUCUCCCGUCUGAAUCCCAAACCGCGCCUGGUGUUGGCUCCUUCCUCUUGAAGUUCAGGCAUCUUAUCUGCCCAAAAGCGCUGUCUGGAGGUUGGCUCGGGCUGGGGCGGCUUGAGUGAAGACCACCGCCCGGCUUCACCUAAGGGAUCUUCAGGUGAACACACAUAUUUUGGAAAAAAAUGAGACGUCUUCUCUUCCCCCCCCCCCCCCCAAUAGAGAUAGCAUGAUUAGAGCGGUCAGGUUCUCCCACCACCCCAAGGAAGGAGAAAUAUAAAAGUUAGGCGAGCAGAGGGACCAGGCGGGGGAGGGGGGGAUUAGGUUCCAGCCCUUGGAAAUGCUAAGGGUGAGGGUCCCGCCCCGGUCCGGAAAUAGUUCCCGCCCUACCUGGCAGCCCCCUCCCAAAAACCUCCUCCCCAGCAACUAAAGUGGAGGGCAGGAGAGGCGAUCCGCCAGCCAGCUAACCGACCGGCCGCGGCAGCGGCUCUUUUCUUUUGCCCGUCUUCCGCGCUUAAGCAGGAAAAGAAAGCCGGCACAAUGGCCGGUCGGUUGGACGGGUGGAUCGCCUCUCCUGCCAUCCACGGUAGCUGCUGGCGGCGAGGAGAGAGCAGAGCCACCGUCCGAUCCAGCAGCACCUGAAAAGUGGACUGGGAUCGAUCCGGCAAAGCGGGAAGUCAUCGCAAACUCCCUGUCCGUUAGCGCCUCAUCGACACGUCGGGGGUAAAAGGGUGGAUGGCAGGGCCCCUCCCCAUUUUAAUACGUACAAUAUAUGCCUAUAUCAUCUGAUCUAUAGAAAUGGUAUGAGUUAUGAAAAGGAACGGACGGACCGAGUAGGAAGCCAGCGUCCCAUGUAGCCCAGCCUGCGGGUCCGCCUUGGCUUUCUUUUGGGGGGCGGCCCGGCGGCAGCGAAACCGGUUCCAAGCGCUGCCCGUCCUUUCCACGACGAGCCCCUUGUAAAGCAUUUAACAGCAAUUAUGCCUUAAUCAGCUGGAAUGUUGGCCACAAAUGACGCUAUUAAACAUCAAAGGCAUGCCUGAGACUUUACCUUUUAGCCAUAAGCGGAUUAAUUUCUCUAAUUAGAGGGGAUAAAUAUGUGCAUAAAUAAAUAUCUCUCUCCACUAUCA